rnacentral:rRNA from 1 species
AACGAGCGCUGGCGGCAUGCCUAACACAUGCAAGCCGAACGAGACCUUCGGGUCUAGUGGCGCACGGGUGCGUAACGCGUGGGAACCUGCCCUUAGGUUCGGAAUAACUCCCCGAAAGGGGUGCUAAUACCGGAUAAUGUCUUCGGACCAAAGAUUUAUCGCCCUUGGAUGGGCCCGCGUUGGAUUAGCUAGUUGGUAGGGUAAAAGCCCACCAAGGCGACGAUCCAUGGCUGGUCUGAGAGGAUGAUCAGCCGCGCUGGGACUGCGACACGGCCCAGACUCGUACGGGAGGGAGGAGUGGGGAAUAUUGGGGGAUGGGCGAAAGCGUGAUCCAGCAGUGCCGGGUGAGUGAUGAAGGCGUUAGGGUUGUAAAGCUCUUUUACCCGGGAUGAUAAUGACGGUACCGGGAGAAUAAGCUCCGGCUAACUCCGUG